GAGCCCGUGGCCCACUGGUUAGAGCCUUGGACUUCUAAUCCACAGGUCGCGGGUUCG
rnacentral:tRNA from 1 species